rnacentral:lncRNA from 7 species
AGAAGGGCAGGCAGUAGGCGUGAAGCUGCGAGCAGAGUAGAGAGCAACUUGGCAGAGCAGCAAGCAGAGUAGGCAAGUGUUGAGGUUUGGCGUGAGUAGCAGCAAAAGCCCAGAGCAUCAAGAAGCAGGAAGUGAGGAGAAGGUAAGUGAAGGGCAGGCAAGGUAAUGGGAGGCAAAGGCAAGGGGAAAGGGGGGGGUAAGGGAGAAAGAAGGGAUGGGGAUGGGAGGGGAUGGGUGAAGAGCAGAGCGGAGGGAAGGGCUGAGGGGAGGGCUGAAGGCAAACCUAUGAUGAAAAAAGAAAAGAAAAAAUAAGAACAAAAAAUAUGAAAAAAAGAAAAAAAGAAGAAAAAUAAGAAAAAGAAAAAAUGAAAAGAAAAAAAGAAAAAAAUGAAAAAAAGAGAAAAGAAAAAAAUGAAAAAAAGAGAAAAAAGAGAAAAGAAAAAGAAAAAAUGAACAAAAAAGAGUAAAAAGAGAAAAAAUGAAAAAAAGAGAAAAAAGAGAAAAGAAAAAAAGAACAUGAACAAAAAAGAGAAAAAAGAGAAAAGAUAAAAAAAGAAAAAGAUAAAGAAAAGAGAAAGAAAAAAGAAAUAGAAAUAAAAAAGAGGACAGAAAAAUAUGAAAAAAAAGAAAAAAAAAGAAAGAAAAAAACAGUAGAUGAAAAAAGAAAAAACAAAAGGAAAAACGAAUAAUGACAAGAGAAGAAAGGUAAAGAGAAAAGAAGAAAAAAGCCAAGUCAAAAAGUAAAGAAUAACUCGAAGGAAGGAGUGGAUGGCAAGAAAUACAGAGAAAGCAGUGCAUAGCACAGCAGAGCAAAGCAAGGCAAAAUAGCAGCCAAAGCCACGAGAAUCAAGAAGUCAGUGAAGAGCAGGAAAGGAAUGGAGGAAUCUGUCCAGAGCUGUGCCCCUGCUUGCCACAGGAGCUGCGCGGGAGGAGAAGAACGUGGGCCAAAAGGUAAGAGGAGCUCCUUUGGGUUCUGGGCUUGAAGCAAAGCUGAGAAGCCAUGCCCGGGAGGAGGUGUGGGUAGCUACAGGCCACCUUGCUAUCUCCCCAAGAGAUGAGGUGUGUGGGCUAGGCACCGGGCAGGAGUGCUGGCCAGAAGCAAGCAUCUCUGUGGAGGAAGGCAAAGGGCGGAGGAGGUUCAAGGGUAGCUACCGGGCAUGGCCUUGCUCAGCAAGGGGAGGAAAAGCCUGAAGGGCACGAGAAGGGGAUAGAGAAGGGCAGGCAGUAGGCGUGAAGCUGCGAGCAGAGUAGAGAGCAACUUGGCAGAGCAGCAAGCAGAGUAGGCAAGUGUUGAGGUUUGGGCGUGAGUAGCAGCAAAAGCCCAGAGCAUCAAGAAGCAGGAAGUGAGGAGAAGGUAAGUGAAGGGCAGGCAAGGUAAUGGGAGGCAAAGGCAAGGGGGAAAGG